rnacentral:lncRNA from 1 species
CUGUCUUCAGAUACGCAGAGGCAUUUAUUACAAGGAGGGAAGGGCUGCCUAUUUCCUUAGACUGCAGGAAGAGAAAGUUCGACUGGAAUCGCAGAGGAAGGCCUGCGUGCCGAGUCUCCCUCAGAGCGCCUGGCAGAGAGGAGGCGCCCUCGUGGAAAAUCCAGGACUGCCCGUCCUUGAGUGGAAGUUCUGGAAGUUGAGGCCUCAACGACCUUUGAGGCAGAGGGUCCUGGUAUCUGUUUUAGACAAGGCCAGAGGUUUUGCCUGGCUGCUGGCAGCAGGGACACUGUGUCUGCAGCUAAGAGGGAUGGUGGGACCCUCGGCCUCCCUGCUCCUCUGCCUGUGCCUCUCACCCAGUGUCUUUUAAACAUAGACGAAUUUAACCAGGAUGCUUUUUCUCCUCUGGACUUCUUUGUUUUAAAUUGGGCUCCUCCAGUAAAUCUAGCUCCUCAGUCAAGUCUUGGGUGAUGGGUUCUCCGUGCUUUUCAUUCUGCAGACUCUUCUGGAGGGUGGAGACCUUCUGAGAAUCGGCUCUUCCAUAAGGCGCUGUCCUCUCAUGCCCCACCUUUGACUCGCCGUUUGGUAGCCUUGCUCUGCUGGACCACGUCCCGGUUGGAGGCACGGAGCAGCAGAGGCCAGAGAGCAGGCUGCCUGGAUGCCCUUGCUCCUGGCUAGCAGACACAGCCUUGGACCACUGUAACCACAGGCCCUGUAGGACCAGCUCAAGCUGACCCAAUCUUAUCGCCAGAAGGUUUUUCAGGGGCAAGCCAAAAAUUUGCAAGUCAUAUAACCAGAGCAUGUGCGGAGGAGAAAAUCUUGAUCUGAAAUGACCCCGGAACCAAAGAUUCUCCACCACGGAACCAAAGGACUGGGAUGCGACGGGAACUUGAGAGUCGGACUCUUAUCAGAAGCGAGGAGUCCCUUGUCAGGGAAGAUCCGGUGUUAAAGCCUCUUCCACACCUUGCCAUAAAUGUUUAAAACCUUGCCAUAAACAUUUAAAGCCUUCCUAUAAAACGUUUAAAGCCCUCCAAUCGAAACUGCCCGCCAGCGCUUCCGUAUGCCAGCCUGUUCUCCCUAAUGUCUUCAAUUUUGCCCCAAACUCUGGAUCAGGGAGACAGAUUUGAGAAUGUUGCCUCCUGUCUCCUUGCUAGUCGACUUCAAAAUAAAGCUUUAUUCUUUUUGCAAAA